rnacentral:rRNA from 1 species
UAGGGAAUCUUCGGCAAUGGGGGCAACCCUGACCGAGCAACGCCGCGUGAGUGAAGAAGGUUUUCGGAUCGUAAAGCUCUGUUGUAAGAGAAGAACGUGUGUGAGAGUGGAAAGUUCACACAGUGACGGUAACUUACCAGAAAGGGACGGCUAACUACGUGCCAGCAGCCGCGGUAAUACGUAGGUCCCGAGCGUUGUCCGGAUUUAUUUGGCGUAAAGCGAGCGCAGGCGGUUUAAUAAGUCUGAAGUUAAAGGCAGUGGCUUAACCAUUGUUCGCUUUGGAAACUGUUAAACUUGACUGCAGAAGGGGAGAGUGGAAUUCCAUGUGUAGCGGUGAAAUGCGUAGAUAUAUGGAGGAACACCGGUGGCGAAAGCGGCGCUCUGGUCUGUACCUGACGCUGAGGCUCGAAAGCGUGGGGAGCAAACAGG